UUUUUGCAUGGCGAACCGUCACCGGAUGGUGUGCCUGUUAAACAAUCGUUUGACUAGCCUGCAAAAACGUC
rnacentral:sRNA from 12 species